rnacentral:lncRNA from 1 species
GUGGUUCCUGUUUCCUAGCAGAGGAAGCAGUAAUACAUAAUGAGCAAAGAAAAUUAGUCUGUGUUUAGGAAAUGCUACCCCACGAAUUAAAAGGGGGAUUCUUAUAAUCAAGAAUUAUUUUAGUUUUGAAGGAAAAAGAAAAAAGCUCCAGGAAAUUAUGUCUGCCAGUCCCCUGGAUCUGUCAAGGAGAUUGGAAGAAAUGUUAAAAGUUGCAGGAAAAUUGUUGCUGAACAAACAGACAGAAAUGAAUGCUUGCCCUGAGGAAAAGGCUGCAGCACAGACUCAGUGAUGCCCUCUCUGGUGUGACCUCCUGACCAGUCCAUGGGUGUGCCAGUUGAUGCACAGCGCCCAGAGCCAGCCCUGCUCUCACCCAGACAGGAGCUAUGGGCUGUGGAAGGGAGGAGUACCUUUUGUGCUUGGCAUGUUCAACUCUAGGAACCCUGCCUCAGCUGACACUACCAUUCCCAGCAGGAAACCUUCAGGGUAAUGAACAACACUUAUUUGGACAUCUGAGACAAAUGAAAUUAGGAUUAUAGGAUUAUAUGAAUUAAUUUCAGCUGUGAAGUUUUUCAAGUUCUUCACGUUUUUCAUAAACAUACAGAUUUGGUUGUUGACAGUGGCACAAGGUUUCAUUUGAAUUGCUGAGGAUGGCAGAGCUUCUGACUUUGCAAGGCAGCUGAAUCCUAGUUCAGUUUGAAGCUGCUGGAUUCUUACAGAUUUCACUGUCAUCAGGUUUCCAUCUGCUGGUUUGCUGGACCUGGCACAGCAGUUUUCAAGCAUGGACGCUAGUGGCAACUCAUGACAGUCCAUGAAAGACCUACUUUAAGCUUUGGGAUAUGCAGUGUCAUCCAAACUGGACUGGAACUAGAUGAUCUUUAAGGUCCUUUCCAACCAACCCAUUCUGUGAUUCUGUGAUAAUAUCAUCUGUGCAGUCUCAGAGCCACAACAGUUCAAAAGGGAAUUUAGACAGUACCUUGAAUCCCCAGUGCUCCAAAAAUUAUGAAGGUAGAUAAUUGCACAGCUUUUUGAUACUGGGAGACCAACUACUUUUCUUCAGUGCACAUUACCACUAAUCAGUUGUCUAGAUCUGGACCAAUCCAUAGAAGUGGAAUUACAGGGACAUUAGGAAGGUAAAUAAUGUUUAUUACACCAGUGCCUAAGGCUGAGAAAGUACAAAGCUCUCCCUAGAAGACACUGUACUCCCUGCUGCAAAAAAAGCUCAGAGCUGGAGAAAAGCAGCUGAAUGUGUUUGUAAAGUGAAAUUUGUGAGCAAGCAUGUAGUACCUUGGUGACGUUUGAGAAUACAAACAGAGAGAGGAGAGAAAGAAGAGAUGCUGAAAACUGGGAUUGUUGGAGUAACAGUCCCAGGAGUGGAAUGAGGCUGAUGUAAGAGAUUUUAAGCAUAGGGGCUGGA